GUCAGGAUGGCCGAGCGGUCUAAGGCGCCAGACUUAAGAUGCUGGUCUUCAGUGAAGGCGUGGGUUCAAAUCCCACUCCUGACA